AUUGAACGCUGGCGGCAGGCCUAACACAUGCAAGUCGAGCGGAUGAAGGGAGCUUGCUCCUGGAUUCAGCGGCGGACGGGUGAGUAAUGCCUAGGAAUCUGCCUGGUAGUGGGGGAUAACGUCCGGAAACGGGCGCUAAUACCGCAUACGUCCUGAUGGAGAAAGUGGGUGAUCUUCGGACCUCACGCUAUCAGAUGAGCCUAGGUCGGAUUAGCUAGUUGGUGGGGUAAAGGCCUACCAAGGCGACGAUCCGUAACUGGUCUGAGAGGAUGAUCAGUCACACUGGAACUGAGACACGGUCCAGGCUCCUACGGGAGGCAGCAGUGGGGAAUAUUGGACAAUGGGCGAAAGCAUGAUCCAGCCAUGCCGCGUGUGUGAAGAAGGUCUUCGGAUUGUAAAGCACUUUAAGUUGGGAGGAAGGGCAGUAAGUUAAUACCUUGCUGUUUUGACGUUACCAACAGAAUAAGCACCGGCUAACUUCGUG
rnacentral:rRNA from 1 species